ensembl:misc_RNA Y_RNA Y RNA
CUCUGGUCCGAUGGUAGUGGGUUAUCAGAACUUAUUAACAUUAAUGUCACUAAAGUUGGUAUACAACCACUCGCUGCCAAAUUUGACUGGGAAAA